AUUUAUAUAGUUUAACAAAAACAUUACAUUUUCAAUGUAAAAAUAAAAUAUUUAUUUUUAUAAAUU
rnacentral:tRNA from 1 species